AAGGAACGAGGUAGACGAAGCGACCUGGAAAGGUCCGUCGUAGAGGGUAACAACCCCGUAGUCGAAACUUCGUUCUCUCUUGAAUGUAUCCUGAGUACGGCGGAACACGUGAAAUUCCGUCGGAAUCUGGGAGGACCAUCUCCCAAGGCUAAAUACUCCCUAGUGAUCGAUAGUGAACCAGUACCGUGAGGGAAAGGUGAAAAGCACCCCGGAAGGGGAGUGAAAGAGAUCCUGAAACCGUGUGCCUACAAAUAGUCAGAGCCCGUUAACGGGUGAUGGCGUGCCUUUUGUAGAAUGAACCGGCGAGUUACGAUCCCGUGCGAGGUUAAGCUGAAGAGGCGGAGCCGCAGCGAAAGCGAGUCUGAAUAGGGCGUUUAGUACGUGAUCGUAGACCCGAAACCAGGUGAUCUACCCAUGUCCAGGGUGAAGUUCAGGUAACACUGAAUGGAGGCCCGAACCCACGCACGUUGAAAAGUGCGGGGAUGAGGUGUGGGUAGCGGAGAAAUUCCAAUCGAACCUGGAG
rnacentral:rRNA from 1 species